UACGGGGGGGGCAAGCGUUGUUCGGAAUUACUGGGCGUAAAGGGCGCGUAGGCGGCCUGCUAAGUCGGACGUGAAAUCCCUCGGCUCAACCGAGGAACUGCGUCCGAUACUGGUGGGCUUGAAUCCGGGAGAGGGAUGUGGAAUUCCAGGUGUAGCGGUGAAAUGCGUAGAUACCUGGAGGAACACCGGUGGCGAAGGCGGCAUCCUGGACCGGUAUUGACGCUGAGGCGCGAAAGCUAGGGGAGCAAACGGG
rnacentral:rRNA from 1 species